AAUAUGAAGAUAAAAGACAAAAUUUGAGAGGAGAGGUAUCCACAUUGGAGCCAGAGAAGACUGUGCAAAGAGGAAGGAGCAGCAGAGAGGAGCUGUUACGGACUGGCCACAUCUCGUAUUUCCUGCUCUCCUGAGCCAUUCAGAGCUGGAGGAGACCAAACUGGUUGACUGAGAAGGCUUUCUAUGUGCUUUUCAAGCUCUUGCAGCCCUGGCCUGAGAUGCUUCCCUAGAACCACAAUAACACGGAGUCUCAGCCAGAUUUGGUCUCAGGAGCUGGAGAAACUACAUGGAGGCCAAAGAAGAAUCAGGUCAGCCUCCCUCACAGAUUAAGUCUCACAAUUCUUUGUUUCACUCUGGAUGAGAUUGUGAUGCUAUAAACUG